rnacentral:rRNA from 1 species
CCUACGGGUGGCAGCAGUCGAGAAUCAUUCACAAUGGGGGAAACCCUGAUGGUGCGACGCCGCGUGGGGGAAUUAAGGUCUUCGGAUUGUAAACCCCUGUCAUGUGGGAGCAAAUUAAAAAGAUAGUACCACAAGAGGAAGAGACGGCUAACUCUGUGCCAGCAGCCGCGGUAAUACAGAGGGCUCAAGCGUUGUUCGGAAUCACUGGGCGUAAAGCGUGCGUAGGCUGUUUCGUAAGUCGUGUGUGAAAGGCGCGGGCUCCACCCGCGGACGGCAGAUGAUACUGCGAGACUAGAGUGAUGGAGAGGGAACCGGAAUGCUCGGUGUAGCAGUGAAAUGCGUAGAUAUCGAGCGGAACACUCGUGGCGAAGGCGGGUUCCUGGACAUUAACUGACGCUGAGGCACGAAGGCCAGGGGAGCGAAAGGGAUUAGAUACCCCAGUAGUC